rnacentral:rRNA from 1 species
UAUGUAGGCAGCGAGCGUUGUUCGGAAUUACUGGGCGUAAAGAGUGUGUAGGCGGUGCUCUAAGUUCGGUGUGAAAUCUCCUGGCUCAACUGGGAGGGUGCGCCGGAAACUGGAGUGCUUGAGCGUGGGAGAGGAAAGCGGAAUUCCUGGUGUAGCGGUGAAAUGCGUAGAUAUCAGGAGGAACACCUGUGGUGUAGACGGCUUUCUGGACCAUAGCUGACGUUGAGACACGAAAGCGUGGGUAGCAAACAGG